AUUGAACGCUGGCGGCAUGCCUUACACAUGCAAGUCGAACGGUAACGGGCCUUCGGGUGCCGACGAGUGGCGAACGGGUGAGUAAUGCAUCGGAACGUACCUUUCAGUGGGGGAUAACGUAGCGAAAGUUACGCUAAUACCGCAUAUUCUGUGAGCAGGAAAGCAGGGGAUCGCAAGACCUUGCGCUGAUCGAGCGGCCGAUGUCAGAUUAGCUAGUUGGUGAGGUAAAGGCUCACCAAGGCGACGAUCUGUAGCGGGUCUGAGAGGAUGAUCCGCCACACUGGAACUGAGACACGGUCCAGACUCCUACGGGAGGCAGCAGUGGGGAAUUUUGGACAAUGGGGGCAACCCUGAUCCAGCCAUGCCGCGUGAGUGAAGAAGGCCUUCGGGUUGUAAAGCUCUUUCGGCCGGGAAGAAAUCGUAUGGGCUAAUACCCUGUGCGGAUGACGGUACCGGCAUAAGAAGCACCGGCUAACUACGUGCCAGCAGCCGCUGUAACAC
rnacentral:rRNA from 1 species